GGAUUUGGUAGCCCCGAAGUGUGGGCUCUCUCCAGUACCAGACUCAUUUCAGUACCAGCCUUUGGGAAGUCGUGUGAAUACCUCGGUCUCUUAGCCACAGGGACAGAAUGGCGGCCUGACGGAGCCGCGGCGCCGGCGAAGUCGCUGAGGCGCGAGCUGGAACCCCCAGACCAGCUCAAACGGGAGCCAAAACUCGAAGCUUGGAAGAAUUAGCAGGAAAUGGCGGAUGAGGCGUUGUUUUUGCUUCUCCAUAACGAGAUGGUGUCUGGAGUGUACAAGUCCGCGGAGCAGGGGGAGGUGGGCAUCUAUGUACUUCAGGACAACAAAUUUCGCCUGCUUACUCAGAUGUCUGCAGGAAAACAGUAUUUAGAACAUGCAUCUAAGUAUUUAGCAUUUACAUGUGGCUUAAUCAGAGGUGGCUUAUCAAACUUGGGAAUAAAAAGUAUUGUAACAGCUGAAGUGUCUUCAAUGCCUGCUUGCAAAUUUCAGGUGAUGAUACAGAAGCUGUAGAACAUACUGAAAUGCAAGGCUUCAACAGUGUAAAGAGAUAAAUUAUUCAUGUAAAAGUAUUUCAAGUAGUGAUGAUUUAAUUACAUUGUUCGAUGUUUGUACAGGAGUAAGCAUGUAUUUUUAUCAAUUUAACACAGAUCAAAGGAGAUGAAGGGACAUUCUGCCAUGACAUACACUUAACCAAAACUAUUCAAAAUGAAAACCGGAUUUCAAAUAACCAGACAUCAAGAUGCAGGGCCCUUAUUUUAAACCUUUUUAUUUGGUUAGAGUGAUAUGUAUUUAGCCAUAGAUGGAGAAACAAAGCUCAGGGUUUGUUGAAUUAGCAUGAGAGAAAAUUAUGUACCAACAGAAUUAUUUGUG
rnacentral:sRNA from 1 species